CAAAACCUUGUCAAAUUGCUCAAGAUAUAAUUCAAGAUACAACCACUAGUAAAUCGGGUUACUUACUACCCUUAGAUUGCAUGUGCUGACUUUAAAAUCAAAUAAAUCCUUCACUUCAACUUGGAAUCUAGUAAAAAAUAUGCAAAAAAUGUAGCCGCAAAAGUUUUCUUUCCAAUUGCAGUCGCCGAUCCUCAAUUGCUCUUUGUACGCGUGCGUUAUGCCAAAAAGAGUGAUAAUAGCUUCCAAAUCAACACCUUAACUUUGAGUGCUUGUGUCUCCUUUAUAUAAACUCCAAAAAAUACAAUAUUUGCACCAAAACCAUAGCCAAAAACCUAAACUUGCUGACCUUAGCCUUCAAAGCUCAAAUG
rnacentral:lncRNA from 1 species